GUUAUUUUGGCAGAAAGUAUGCGUAAGAUUUAGGAUCUUAUAAGAUAGAGUAAUCUAUA
rnacentral:tRNA from 1 species